CAAUUCCUUCUGAAUGGAGGGUUCCUCCCUUACUUUAGGGUUCUAGAAUGGGGGAAAAAAUUGGAGACCUCGCCCUUCACCAAGCAGGUCGCAGGGCAGAGAGAGAGGGGGCUUGGAAGAAGGGCAGACCUCUGAAUGACUUGGGGUGCCUUGUACUCCUGUGGAACUCACGUCUUUGAACUUCAGUUUUGUUGAGUCCCCACAAGUGUCCCUGGUUCGUGAAUGGUCUUCUCUCACAUGGAGACCUGAGGACAGAGGCUUCCAUCCAGUGGCUCUGCCGCACCCAGGGGCCUGGAGGCCUCAAGAGAGACAGUGUGGAGAAGCCCUGCCUGUUUCUUAAAGCCCCUGCCUUGAAUUUACGCACAUCACUUCUCAUUUUCCACUGGCAAAACUUAGGCCCGCAGCCAUUCCGGGAACAAAGUGGGUGGGAGAUGCCGUUCCUGAUGGGCAGCAACAUUAGGACCAGCUCUGCUGCCUGGAAGAAAGAGCCCACGGCUUUGGUGAACAGGCAGCCACCUCUGCCACAUACCAUAGCUGGUUGGGUGGUUGUGAAGGUUGAAUAUUAUAACACAUGUGAAGCAUUAACCAUGGGGUGCCCUGCAGUGCAGGAUAAAUGCUGUUAUUUAGUUAAGUUA